rnacentral:rRNA from 1 species
AGUGAACGCUGGCGGUAGGCCUAACACAUGCAAGUCGAACGGCAGCACAGUAAGAGCUUGCUCUUACGGGUGGCGAGUGGCGGACGGGUGAGGAAUACAUCGGAAUCUACUUUUUCGUGGGGGAUAACGUAGGGAAACUUACGCUAAUACCGCAUACGACCUACGGGUGAAAGCAGGGGAUCUUCGGACCUUGCGCGAUUGAAUGAGCCGAUGUCGGAUUAGCUAGUUGGCGGGGUAAAGGCCCACCAAGGCGACGAUCCGUAGCUGGUCUGAGAGGAUGAUCAGCCACACUGGAACUGAGACACGGUCCAGACUCCUACGGGAGGCAGCAGUGGGGAAUAUUGGGCAAUGGGCGCAAGCCUGAUCCAGCCAUACCGCGUGGGUGAAGAAGGCCUUCGGGUUGUAAAGCCCUUUUGUUGGGAAAGAAAAGCAGCAAGUUAAUACCCCGCUGUUCUGACGGUACCCAAAGAAUAAGCACCGGCUAACUUCGUG